AAUUAAUUGGGUGUAUGGACGAGAGCAUAACUCUCAUUUUCUUCCAAGCAACUAGCUUGAGAAUAAAGGAAUAUAUAAAUACCAACAACAACAACAUCUUUUUAGUUUCCAGUAUGGGACUAAACCUCACAUAUGAUGGCCCAUUAAGUAUUACGCUGCCCAAGAGGCUUAACAAGGUUUUAAUCACCAAAAAUCCAAUAAAAUCCAACAAUGAAUACAAAUUUAGAGAGGACAA
rnacentral:lncRNA from 1 species